UACGUAGGGCGCAAGCGUUGUCCGGAAUUAUUGGGCGUACAGAGCUCGUAGGCGGCUUGUCACGUCGGGUGUGAAAGCCCGGGGCUUAACCCCGGGUCUGCAUUCGAUACGGGCAGGCUAGAGUGUGGUAGGGGAGAUCGGAAUUCCUGGUGUAGCGGUGAAAUGCGCAGAUAUCAGGAGGAACACCGGUGGCGAAGGCAGCUCGCUGGGACGGUACUGACGCUGAGACGCGAAAGCGUGGGGAGCAAACAGG
rnacentral:rRNA from 1 species